UCUAGCAACCAGCCGGCUAGAGGAGCCCAACCCCUCACGCUUCCACGCACGGGAGCAGGGAGCAUCCAGCCACGCCUUGGCCAGGGGCCCACCCAUCGGUAGCCAUAGAUGCUGCACCGUGGGCCCUGUGUGUCAGCCAUCCGCGCCGCACUGCCUUGCGUCCCGCCGUCAUUUACCACAUCGCGCAGAUCUCUGUUGCGCGCCUAGGUGCCUCCGUCGCACGGGAAGACUUCGCCAAGUCGCCGGCAACAACCAGCAAGCGCCCGCGAGCCCAUGCUGGGAGCACUGCAAAAGCUCACCAUCAUCGUCGCGUCCGUUUCCUUGCCUCGUCGUCGCAUUCACGCAUCAGCAGGAAGCCGGAGCCACCGCUGCGACGUCUGCUUGCUGGAGCUUCGCUGAGCUACCCUCCGCGAUCAUCUUCGUCGAGCUUCCUUCCGAGGUGAGGUUUGUGCCUACCCUUCUGUAGCCACGCCGUCCUGGGCGAGCUCCACCCCAUGCGCGUGUGCCCUCGCCCUUGCUGUAUGCGUGUUGCAGCCAGCCUGGCCAUGAGCCACCGCUAGGCGAGGCCUAGACAUGGGCAGGUGGUUACUCCACGGCUGGCUCCUUGCUCAAAUGCUUGCUGCAGUUCACGUUCCUGGAAUGAGAAAGAAACUGCUCCUUGUCGUGAGGUAGCUUGUCGGGCCGUAACCACACAUCCCACUAAAUCCGAGCACAUUUGGCUGAGGUCUAUGCGACCCUCUGUGAGGCUCAUUUUUUCGGCCAAUAGAAGUGUGUCGUGUCACAGUAAUCCGCGAGAUAAUAAAUAUUCAAUAUAUUUUGUGUCCCGAAUUCGUUUUAA